AGAGUUUGAUCAUGGCUCAGAACGAACGCUGGCGGCGUGCUUAAUACAUGCAAGUCGAACGUGAAUCCCGACUUCGGUUGGGAUGAAAGUGGCGAACGGGUGAGUAACACGUAAGUAAUCUGCCUUCAAGUUUGGGAUAACCCUGCCAACGCGGGGCUAAUACCGGAUGUGGUCCAGCUGACACAUGUUGGCUGGAUUAAAGGUCGCGAGGCCGCUUGGAGAUGAGCUUGCGGCCCAUUAGUUAGUUGGUGAGGUAACGGCCCACCAAGACGAAGAUGGGUAGCCGGCCUGAGAGGGUGUACGGCCACAUUGGGACUGAGAUACGGCCCAGACUCCUACGGGAGGCAGCAGUAGGGAAUUUUGCGCAAUGGACGGAAGUCUGACGCAGCAACGCCGCGUGAAGGAUGACGGCCUUCGGGUUGUAAACUUCUGUUGGAUGGGAAAAAAAGCCUAGGAAUAGGAAUUGAUGGUACCAUUCGAGUAAGCACCGGCUAACUACGUGCCAGCAGCCGCGGUAAUACGUAGGGUGCGAGCGUUGUUCGGAAUCACUGGGCGUAAAGGGAGCGUAGGCGGGAUCGUAAGUUAGGAGUUUAAUACAUGGGCUCAACCCGUGAUAUGCUUUUAAUACUGCGGUUCUUGAGUAUGGGAGAGGGUGAUGGAAUUCCAGGUGUAGCGGUGGAAUGCGUAGAUAUCUGGAAGAACACCAGUAGCGAAGGCGGUCACCUGGCCCAAUACUGACGCUGAGGCUCGAAAGCUGGGGGAGCAAACAGGAUUAGAUACCCUGGUAGUCCCAGCCGUAAACGAUGGACACUAGUUGCCGGGAGAGUCAAUCCUUUCGGUGACGAAGCUAACGCAUUAAGUGUCCCGCCUGGGAAGUACGCCCGCAAGGGUGAAACUCAAAGGAAUUGACGG
rnacentral:rRNA from 1 species